ACGCUCGACACCUACUGGAGGCAGCAGUGGGGAAUAUUGCACAAUGGGGGAAACCCUGAUGCAGCAACGCCGCGUGAGUGAAGAAGUAUUUCGGUAUGUAAAGCUCUAUCAGCAGGGAAGAUAAUGACGGUACCUGACUAAGAAGCUCCGGCUAAAUACGUGCCACAGCCGCGGUAAUCUGAGCGGGCUGGCAAGGC
rnacentral:rRNA from 1 species